ACACGUUAUCAGUAGAGUCCCAUAGCUUUGAUGGAGAGAGGACAACUCAACAGGUUGUCCAGUAGAGGACAACUCAACAGGUUGUCCAGUAGAGGACAACUCAACACGUUAUCAGUAGAGUCCCAUAGCUUUGAUGGAGAGAGGACAACUCAACAGGUUAUCAGUAGAGGACAACUCAACAGGUUAUCAGUAGAGGACAACUCAACAGGUUAUCAGUAGAGGACAACUCAACAGGUUAUCAGUAGAGGACAACUCAACAGGUUAUCAGUAGAGGACAACUCAACAGGUUAUCAGUAGAGGACAACUCAACAGGUUAUCAGUAGAGGACAACUCAAC